GAUAUGGAAGUAAAUAGCGGUAAAUAUAUGUCUACGGCCUCUCACGCCGGAAACCGGGGUUCAAUUCCCCGUGGGAUCACCA
rnacentral:tRNA from 1 species